GGGAUAAAGGUUUCGGGAAUGUGGCUCCCUCGGGAGUGUUAUAGCCCGGCGUGCCAUGCCCCCGCCCGGACCGAGGUUCGCGCUCCGCAAGGACGCUGGCGUAAUGGUCCCCAGCG
rnacentral:rRNA from 1 species